AGGGGACCUUCGGGCCUUUCGCUAACAGAUGAGCCUGCGUUGGAUUAGCUAGUUGGUGGGGUAAGGGCCCACCAAGGCGACGAUCCAUAGCUGGUCUGAGAGGACGAUCAGCCACACUGGGACUGAGACACGGCCCAGACUCCUACGGGAGGCAGCAGUGGGGAAUAUUGGACAAUGGGCGCAAGCCUGAUCCAGCAAUACCGCGUGUGUGAAGAAGGCCCUAGGGUUGUAAAGCACUUUCAAUUGGGAGGAAAACCCACCGGCCAAUACCCGGUGGCUUGACAUUACCUUUAGAGGAAGCACCGGCUAACUCCGUGCCAGCAGCCGCGGUAAUACGGAGGGUGCGAGCGUUAAUCGGAAUUACUGGGCGUAAAGCGUGCGUAGGCGGCCCGUUAAGUCAGAUGUGAAAGCCCCGGGCUCAACCUGGGAACUGCAUUUGAAACUGGCGGGCUAGAGUUUGGUAGAGGGGAGCGGAAUUUCAGGUGUAGCGGUGAAAUGCGUAGACAUCUGAAGGAACACCAGUGGCGAAGGCGGCUCCCUGGACCAGAACUGACGCUGAGGUACGAAAGCGUGGGUAGCAAACAGGAUUAGAUACCCUGGUAGUCCACGCCGUAAACGAUGUCGACUAGC
rnacentral:rRNA from 1 species